CCUCAGAUUCAAAUACCGGUUUCUAGAAUUAUCCAAUUAGAGGAAGUAGGGCCUCUUAAAGAAACGCCUGAUUCUAGGACCUUCAAGGAGAUGGAACAUAACUCUUCCUCAGUCCUUAAGUGUGAACUGUGCAUAGCGACUUCCCUUAUUGAUGUUAAUUUUGAUCCCUUGGUCCAGAUGUUGUCCAGUCCUCUACUUUCUGGUUACUGUUUCCCCUCAUGCAGCUAAUAGGCAUUCUGUAGAGAAACAUUUAAAAACCAUGUAAAUAACCUGCUUUUCAUUAAAAUUUUGCUCCUACAUUCAGCAUCCAUUGAUGAUUCUUGUCUGACCCAAUGCCCAGUAUGAGACCGACCCAGGUCUGCCUUAAUAUAUAUACCGUAAUAUAUACCUAACAGUUUUUUUUUUUUUUUUGAGAGGGAGUCUCGCUCUGUCGCCCAGGCUGGAGUGCAGUAUCGCGAUAUCGGUUCGCUGCAAGCUCCGCCUCCCGGGGUCACGUCAUUCUCCUGCCUCAGCUUCCGGAGCAGCUGGGACUGCUGGCGCCCGCCACUACGCUCGGCUAAUUUUUUUGUGUUUUUAGUAGAGACGGGCUUUCACCGUGUUGGCCUAGCGGUUCUCCAACUCCUGACCUCAUGAUCCCCCCGCCUCAGCCUCCCAAAGUGCUGGGAUUACAAGCGUGAGCCACCGCGACCCGCCAACACUCUUGACAACAGUGCUGUGCUAAGAACUUGGGGGACUUCAAAAAGUUCACCAGUUCCUGUGUCCAUGGUAGGGUGAAAAGAUUUUCUACAUCUUUCCUUGACUAGAAACAGAAGUCCUGAAACAAGAAUAUAACGUCAGGAGGCCAGAGGCUUUGUCCUGCCUAAUGUGUUAUUUCCACACUGAAUAAAAGCACCUGAGUCCUGGUAAGUGCUCAUAUGAUUGGCUCAAUAAAAGAAUAAUAAAUGAAUUGGAAAGAGGAGACAGUGAAGGAUAUAGGAGAUGUACCUGAUAGCAACUUACUGCCUCUCAGCUCAAAAUUCACCCUUCAAAACCUUUUCUACACCAAUGGAUAGAAUUCCUGUCAGCAUUUCUCUUUUACGUUGAACACAAUGUUAAGCUUCCUCAGUGAAGGACCCUAGAUGGACAUUGCAGGAAGAAGGGACUUCCCCUGUUGGACCUAGAGGUUGUACCAGCAUUGUAGGUGGGAGGACAUCCACUGGCUCUUUGCAAUAGCCAUGUGUCCAUAAAGUAUAGUUUCUCAGCAAUCUCAUUGCCCAGUCUAGGCUUGGCAAUCACCCUCCUGCAGCCUUAUCAACACAUUGCUCGAGGC
rnacentral:lncRNA from 1 species